rnacentral:rRNA from 1 species
AGUGAACGCUGGCGGUAGGCCUAACACAUGCAAGUCGAACGGCAGCACAGUAAGAGCUUGCUCUUACGGGUGGCGAGUGGCGGACGGGUGAGGAAUACAUCGGAAUCUACUUUUUCGUGGGGGAUAACGUAGGGAAACUUACGCUAAUACCGCAUACGACCUACGGGUGAAAGCAGGGGAUCUUCGGACCUUGCGCGUUUGAAUGAGCCGAUGUCGGAUUAGCUAGUUGGCGGGGUAAAGGCCCACCAAGGCGACGAUCCGUAGCUGGUCUGAGAGGAUGAGCAGCCACACUGGAACUGAGACACGGUCCAGACUCCUACGGGAGGCAGCAGUGGGGAAUAUUGGACAAUGGGCGCAAGCCUGAUUCAGCCAUACCGCGUGGGUGAAGAAGGCCUUCGGGUUGUAAAGCCCUUUUGUUGGGAAAGAAAAGCAGCAGGUUAAUACCCCGCUGUUCUGACGGUACCCAAAGAAUAAGCACCGGCUAACUUCGUG